rnacentral:rRNA from 1 species
GACGAACGCUGGCGGCGCGCUUAACACAUGCAAGUCGAACGGAAAGGCCUGCUUUCCCUUGUGGAUUGCGGGUACUCGAGUGGCGAACGGGUGAGUAACACGUGAGUGAUCUGCCCCCAACUUGGGUAUAAGCCUGGGAAACUGGGUCUAAUUCCCGAUAGGACUGCAGGGUGGUGCCUGUGGUGGAAAACGAUUUUCUAGUGGUUGGGGAUGAGCUCGCGGCCUAUCAGCUUGUUGGUGGGGUAAUGGCCUACCAAGGCGGCGACGGGUAGCCGGCGUGGGAGGGUGGACGGCAGCAGUGGGACUGAGAUACGGCGCAGACGCCUACGGGAGGCAGCAGUGGGGAGUAAGGAGCAAUGGGCGGAAGCCUGAGGCAGCGACGCCGCGGGGGGGAUGACGGCCUUCGGGUUGUGAACUCCUUGCGACCGCGAGGAAGCCACCUGGUUGGAAGGGUGGUGACGGUAGUGGGAGAAGAAGCACCGGCUAACUACGUG